UACGUAGGGGGCAAGCGUUGUCCGGAAUUAUUGGGCGUAAAGCGCGUGUAGGCGGCUCGGUAAGUCUGCUGUGAAAGUCCAGGGCUCAACCCUGGAAUGCCGGUGGAUACUGUCGAGCUCGAGUCCGGAAGAGGCGAGUGGAAUUCCUGGUGUAGCGGUGAAAUGCGCAGAUAUCUGCAGGAACAUCCGAGGCGAAAGCGGCUCGCUGGAUCACAACUGACGCUGAGAGACGAAAGCUAGGGGAGCAAACAGG
rnacentral:rRNA from 1 species